CUACGGAGGAUCCGAGCGUUAUCCGGAUUUAUUGGGUUUAAAGGGUGCGCAGGCGGCCAUUUAAGUCAGCGGUUAAAUCGUGGGGCUCAACCCCAUUCUGCCGUUGAUACUGGGUGGCUUGAUUGCGGUCGAGGUUGGCGGAAUUCGUUGUGUUGCGGGGAAAUGCAUAGAUAUGACGAAGAACACCGAUUGCGUAGGCAGCUGACCAGACCGCAAAUGACGCUCAUGCACGAAAGUGCGGGGAUCGAACAGGAUUAGAUACCCUGGUAGUCCGCACAGUAAACGAUGAAUACUUGUUUUCGGCGAUAUAAUGUCGGAGGCAAAGCGAAAGCGAUAAGUAUUCCACCUGGGGAGUACGCCGGCAACGGUGAAACUCAAAGGAAUUGACGGGG
rnacentral:rRNA from 1 species